UACGGAGGGGGCUAGCGUUGUUCGGAAUCAUUGGGCGUAAAGGGCGCGUAGGCGGCCGAUCAAGUCGGAGGUGAAAUCCCUCGGCUCAACUGAGGAAUUGCCUUCGAUACUGGUCGGCUUGAGUCCGGUAGGGGAGCACGGAAUUCCUGGUGUAGCGGUGAAAUGCGCAGAUAUCAGGAGGAACACCGGUGGCGAAGGCGGGUCUCUGGGCCGAUACUGACGCUGAGGAGCGAAAGCGUGGGGAGCGAACAGG
rnacentral:rRNA from 1 species